AGCGAACGCUGGCGGUAGGCCUAACACAUGCAAGUCGAACGGCAGCACAGGAGAGCUUGCGCUCUGGGUGGCGAGUGGCGGACGGGUGAGGAAUACAUCGGAAUCUACUUUUUCGUGGGGGAUAAUGUAGGGAAACUUACGAUAAUACCGCAUACGACCUACGGUAGAAAGCAGGGGACCUUCGGUCCUUGCGCGAUUGAAUGAGCCGAUGUCGGAUUAGCUAGUUGGCGGGGUAAAGGCCCACCAAGGCGACGAUCCGUAGCUGGUCUGAGAGGAUGAUCAGCCACACUGGAACUGAGACACGGUCCAGACUCCUACGGGAGGCAGCAGUGGGGAAUAUUGGACAAUGGGCGCAAGCCUGAUCCAGCCAUACCGCGUGGGUGAAGAAGGCCUUCGGGUUGUAAAGCCCUUUUGUUGGGAAAGAAAUCCAGCUGGCUAAUACCCGGUUGGGAUGACGGUACCCAAAGAAUAAGCACCAGCUAACUUCGUGCCAGCCGCCGCCGUAA
rnacentral:rRNA from 1 species